CGAGGAGGAGGAGGAGGAAAUUGUAAAUACUAUAUUAUGAUUAUAAAAUAGAAUAGAACAUAUUAUACAAAAUUAUUGUUUAUCUUCCUCGAUUCUAUGCAUUGUCUGAUUCUUCAUCUUAAAGAUUAGUGUUAAAUUUAUUCGUUUUCAAUGGAAUCGGUUCCCUUUCAACAGUUGAAGGUAACUAUAUCGGUGCCGAGACCCUGACACUCCUGCUCGAACUUCUUCAUGUAAACUAAAUACUUUGCCGGUUCUUUCUGGUGUGCUGGCUCCAUAAUUAUUUGUGGGCUAUAAACAUGAGCCCAGGUUUUU
rnacentral:lncRNA from 1 species